rnacentral:rRNA from 1 species
UCCAAUAGCGUAUAUUAAACUUGUUGCAGUUAAAAAGCUCGUAGUUGUAUUUUUGCGUUGACGGUUUGACCAUUUGGUUGGUUAUUUCGUUUUCGCUUUUGGGAAUUUCCCUUUUUACUUUGAGAAAAUUAGAGUGUUUCAAGCAGACUUUUGUCUUGAAUACUUCAGCAUGGAAUAAUAGAGUAGGACUUUGGUUCUAUUUUGUUGGUUAUUGAACCUUAGUAAUGGUUAAUAGGAACGGUUGGGGGCAUUCGUAUUUAACUGUCAGAGGUGAAAUUCUUAGAUUUGUUAAAGACGAACUACUGCGAAAGCAUUUGCCAAGGACGUUUCCAUUAAUCAAGAACGAAAGUUAGGGGAUCGAAGACGAUCAGAUACCGUCGUAGUCCUAACCAUAAACU